AGAGUUUGAUCCUGGCUCAGGAUGAACGCUGGCGGCGUGCCUAACACAUGCAAGUCGAACGGAGCGCCCGGACGGAGUAUUUCGGUACAAAGACCGGGUGGCUGAGUGGCGGACGGGUGAGUAACGCGUGGACAACCUGCCGUGUACAGGGGGAUAACAGCCGGAAACGGCUGCUAAUACCGCAUAUGCGCACAGUGCCGCAUGGCACAGUGCGGAAAGCCUAGAUCUUAUCUAGUACGGUACACGAUGGGUCCGCGUCUGAUUAGGUAGUUGGCGGGGUAACGGCCCACCAAGCCCACGAUCAGUAGCCGGCCUGAGAGGGCGGACGGCCACACUGGGACUGAGACACGGCCCAGACUCCUGCGGGAGGCAGCAGUGGGGAAUAUUGCACAAUGGGGGGAACCCUGAUGCAGCGACGCCGCGUGAAGGAAGAAGUAUCUCGGUAUGUAAACUUCUAUCAGCAGGGAAGAAAGAGGACGGUACCUGACUAAGAAGCCCCGGCUAACUACGUGCCAGCAGCCGCGGUAAUACGUAGGGGGCGAGCGUUAUCCGGAUUUACUGGGUGUAAAGGGAGCGUAGACGGCCAUGCAAGCUCGGUGUGAAAGGUGCGGGCACAACCCGCAGACUGCACUGAGAACUGUAUGGCUGGAGUGCCGGAGGGGCAGGCGGAAUUCCUGGUGUAGCGGUGAAAUGCGUAGAUAUCAGGAGGAACACCGGUGGCGAAGGCGGCCUGCUGGACGGCGACUGACGUUGAGGCUCGAAAGCGUGGGGAGCGAACAAAAUUAGAUACCCUGGUAGUCCACGCCGUAAACGAUGUAUACCAGGGGUCGGG
rnacentral:rRNA from 1 species